UGUGGGAUGAACCCAAACGUUGGGCUAAGGCGCCCUGAAUGAACGCAAAUUCUGAUCCCCAUGAAGGGUUGUUGGUUGCUCUAGACAGCAGGACAGUGGCCAUGGAAGCUGGAAUCUGCUAAGGAGUGCGUAACAGCUCACCUGCCGAAGCAACCAGCCCUGAAAAUGGAUGGCGCUUUAGCGUUCUGCCUAUGCCCGACCGCUAGAGUGGAGCCAGGCACGGGUCGUGCAGUGCCCGUAAACUCUAGUGAGUAAGGAGGUGUAAUGGUAAGCGUUGAAGGGUCUGGGUGUAAACCUGCCUGGAGCUGCCAUUGGCACAGAUCUUGGUGGUAGUAGCAAAUACUCAAGUGAGAUCCUUGAGGGCUGACGUGGAGAAGGGUUUCAUGUGAACAGCAAUUGCACAUGGGUGAGUCGUUCCUAAGCCAAAGGCGAAAGCCACGCUCAUAAACUUGUGGCCACAUGAAUUGUCAAGUGCCAGAAGCAGUCCUCUUACGCUUCGUCUCUGAUCACAGUCGUUUAUACGGUGCGGGUCGUGCCAUAAUGACGCAGAGUUUAAGUGUUGGGGGCUAGUGGAAGCACGUUUUUCGAGUGAGCCUGCAAGGAGUUUGGCGAAAGGGAAUCCGGUACUCAUUCCGGAACCUGGAUAUGAGGAGUAGUGUUGCUUUAUGCAUCACAUAGCCGCAAGGCGUUACCAUCCUGGAGAAUCCAACCAGAGAGCUGAGAAGAGUUGUCUUUUCUGCUUAAGGGGAAGAGGGCCUUGUGAACUGGGUCGGUCAGAGAGAGGGUCUUUU
rnacentral:rRNA from 1 species